rnacentral:sRNA from 1 species
UACAUAAGGAAGAGCUGUGUUCCCGAGAC